rnacentral:rRNA from 1 species
CGCGUAGGCGGCUCUGCAAGUCGAAGGUGAAAUCCCUCAGCUCAACUGAGGAACUGCCUCCGAUACUGCAGGGCUUGAGUUCUGGAGAGGGUAGCGGAAUUCCCAGUGUAGCGGUGAAAUGCGUAGAUACUGGGAGGAACACCGGUGGCGAAGGCGGCUACCUGGACGGAUACUGACGCUGAGGCGCGAAAGCGUGGGGAGCAAACAGGAUUAGAUACCCUGGUAGUCC